rnacentral:rRNA from 1 species
UACGAAGGGGGCUAGCGUUGUUCGGAAUUACUGGGCGUAAAGCGUGCGUAGACGGUUAUUUAAGUCGGGUGUGAAAGCCCCGGGCUCAACCUGGGAAUUGCAUUCGAGACUGAAUAGCUAGGGUGCGGAAGAGGGAAGCGGAAUUUCCGGUGUAGCGGUGAAAUGCGUAGAUAUCGGAAGGAACACCAGUGGCGAAAGCGGCUUCCUGGUCCAGCACCGACGUUCAGGCACGAAAGCGUGGGGAGCAAACAGG